AACGAACGCUGGCGGCAUGCCUAACACAUGCAAGUCGAACGAGACCUUCGGGUCUAGUGGCGCACGGGUGCGUAACGCGUGGGAACCUGCCCUUAGGUUCGGAAGAACUCCCCGAAAGGGGUGCUAAUACCGGAUAAUGUCCUCGGACCAAAGAUUUAUCGCCUUUGGAUGGGCCCGCGUUGGAUUAGCUAGUUGGUAGGGUAAAAGCCUACCAAGGCGACGAUCCAUAGCUGGUCUGAGAGGAUGAUCAGCCACACUGGGACUGAGACACGGCCCAGACUCCUACGGGAGGCAGCAGUGGGGAAUAUUGGACAAUGGGCGAAAGCCUGAUCCAGCAAUGCCGCGUGAGUGAUGAAGGCCUUAGGGUUGUAAAGCUCUUUUACCCGGGAUGAUAAUGACAGUACCGGGAGAAUAAGCUCCGGCUAACUCCGUG
rnacentral:rRNA from 1 species